CGAAUGCUGACAUAAGUAACGAUAAAGCGGGUGAAAAGCCCGCUCGCCGGAAGACCAAGGGUUCCUGUCCAACGUUAAUCGGGGCAGGGUGAGUCGACCCCUAAGGCGAGGCCGAAAGGCGUAGUCGAUGGGAAACAGGUUAAUAUUCCUGUACUUGGUGUUACUGCGAAGGGGGGACGGAGAAGGCUAUGUUGGCCGGGCGACGGUUGUCCCGGUUUAAGCGUGUAGGCUGGUUUUCCAGGCAAAUCCGGAAAAUCAAGGCUGAGGCGUGAUGACGAGGCACUACGGUGCUGAAGCAACAAAUGCCCUGCUUCCAGGAAAAGCCUCUAAGCAUCAGGUAACAUCAAAUCGUACCCCAAACCGACACAGGUGGUCAGGUAGAGAAUACCAAGGCGCUUGAGAGAACUCGGGUGAAGGAACUAGGCAAAAUGGUGCCGUAACUUCGGGAGAAGGCACGCUGAUAUGUAGGUGAAGUCCCUCGCGGAUGGAGCUGAAAUCA
rnacentral:rRNA from 1 species